GCAUAAUGUCAUUGCGCCUGCUGCAACCAUACCCCAACAGCAACCAACUGCAGAACCGCAGAACCAUACGUCAUGACAGUCUGAGGACCACAGCGCCAGACUAACAGCCUGAGGCCGGAUGUGGGCGGAGUAACAGUCUCACGCCGGAUGUGGGCGGAGUUAGCGACAAACAAACAAACAAUGGCGGAAGAAGAGAACACGAGGCAUACUAGUAUUGGGAGAUGCUCCGCUUUACUUCAUUUACAGCGAUGCAAAACGUGCUUUAACAAUUUCCACUGCCCAGUGUUUUUAAACCGACCAGACGGCACAAGUUGAAUGCACACCUUCAAAUUCACUUCAAAAAGGCUGUUGUCCAUGGAGUAAAUUGACAAGCAGAAUCACCCCAGGACAGUGGAAGCUGAUCAAAAACAAGAAUGUUCCGUUGACCUGCUCUAUUGACUGUGGGAUCUUCAUGUUAAUGGAGCCACAGAUCACAGAAGACCUCUGCGCUGCACUUGAAUGGCUGCACAACAACCAAAAGUCUUCAAGCAUUUAGUGGAAGAGCCGUGCUUUCUGAUAUUGAAAGAGGAAGACGAGGAAAAAACCCCUCUUCAUUUUUCACAGGCUGAAAAGGAUGAUGACAGACAACUGGCCAAAGAGCCUUUAGUGUUUUGCUUACAAAUUAAGGAUGAUAUGGACAUUUUUCUUAAUGAGUGUCUGGACAAAAAGAGUCUUGUAAUUAAUUGCAUGUUUAUGGAGAUUUGAUUUUUUUUUUUUUUUUUUUUUUUUUAAAGAUUUAAUUUGUCAUCAUGUACCUGCUGUUCAAUUUACACUCUUUGGUUUGAUUUAGCAAUUUUUUAGAGCAAAGCACAGCUAGUAGCUAUAUAAUGCUUUUGCAGUACAUUUUAUUAAAAUUAAAUAAAUAUCUUUUGUGUUUUGUUUUUGGGUUUGAUGGAUCUGAAUUUGCUUAAUUCAUGCAAUCUAGUGUACAACUGUGUAACAUGUAUUAUAUAUUAUUAAAAACAAUGGUUCAUUCUGAAAUGCUUGAGUAAAAUUAAUUAAUUAAAUUAAUAAAUCUUUAUAAUUUUCA